rnacentral:rRNA from 1 species
UUGCAGCUCUCGCUGCCCAAUGGAUAACUUCGCGAAACGCGAAGCUAAUACAUGUAUGUGAUGUGGCGCUCUCCACUCAACCGCUCUUGGGAAACCGAGGGCGGGGAGACGCUUCGCGGAUGGUUGCUAUUAAGACCAACGCUGCUCGCGCAGCAGAGUCCCAGAGCGAUGAUUCAGACCAUUCAGCAAAAGCACGCUUUGGCGUGCGCGUCCCGACGAAUCUCUGCCCUAUCAGCUUCUGACGGUAGUGUAUUGGACUACCGUGGCAAUAACGGGUACGGGGAAUUAGGGUUCGAUUCCGGAGAGGGAGCCUGAGAAAUAGCUACCACUUCUACGGAGGGCAGCAGGCGCGUAAAUUGCCCAAUGCCAAAUCGGCGAGGCAGCGAAGAAAAAUAGCGACCCCGCCUCUUUUGAGUGCGGGGAUUGCAAUGGGUGGUACGUAAACCCACCAACGAGUAACAAUUGGAGGACAAGUCUGGUGCCAGCACCCGCGGUAAUUCCAGCUCCAAUAGCGUAUAUUAAUGUUGCUGCUGUUAAAGGGUUCGUAGUUGGAUUGAGAGUGGAGAGAUUCGGGCACUUUGGUGCCUGCUCGCCUCCACUCUGUCAUAGACGGGGCCGAGUCCCGCCGUGCGCACCUUCACUGGCUCGCACGGCACCUCCUUGGAGGACACGAGUGCGACACACUCCUUCGGACCGCCCGUCGUUCUCACCGUGAAUAAAACAGCGUGUUCAAAGCUGCCGUUCGGCAGAAUGACAAAGCAUGGAAUGACAGAGUAUCGACCAGCUGGUCGUGCUUUUGUUGGUUUUACUACUCAGUUGGGUAACUCGCGGGCGGUGUCCGGUGCGUUCCGCACUCGGGGCCGCCAGCACGGGAUUAACGGGGGUUGUCGGGGGAAAACGUAUUCGAGCGUGAGAGGUGAAAUUCUUAGACCGCUCGGGGACGGACUUAUGCGAAGGCAUUUUCCAAGUAUACCUUCAUCAAUCAAGAACUAAAGUGUGGAGAUCGAAGAUGUUUAGAUACCAUUGUAGUCCACCACUGCAAACGAUGACGCCCAUGGAUCGGACAGCAUUUUGCUCCGAUGGGAUCUUUUCGGCACUGCUCCCCUUCAACGCGAAAGCUGAGGCUAUGGUCUCAUGGGGAAGUACGUUCGCAAGGCUGAAACUUAAAGAAAUUGACGGAAUGGCACCACCAGGCGUGGAGUGCGCGGUUUAAUUUGACCCAACACGGGAAACCUUACCAGGGCAGGACAACGGAAGGAUUGACAGAUUGAGAGCUCUUUCUUGAUUCGUUUGACGGUGGUGCAUGGCCGCUUUUGGUCGGUGAAGUGAUUUGUUUGGUUGAUUCCUUUAACGGACGAGACCCAAUCCGCUUACUAGGGGCGCCG